rnacentral:rRNA from 1 species
GUCUUCUUGAUUGUAUAGGAAGUCUGACCUGCCCGGUGAAUAAGUAUUUAACGGCCGCGGUAUUCUGACCGUGCAAAGGUAGCAUAAUCAUUAGUCUUUUAAUAGAGGGCUGGAAUGAAGGGUUUGACGAAAUGCUUACUGUCUCAUUUAAUUUGAAAUUUGAAUUUGACUUUUUAGUUAAAAGGCUAAAUUGUUGUUGGAAGACGAGAAGACCCUAUAGAGCUUUAUAUUUUAAAAUUUAAAAGAUUUUUGUUUAAUUGUUAUUUUUUAAAUGGAAAAAUAUUUUGUUGGGGUGACAAAAAUAUAGAAUAAACUUUUUUAUUUAUUUAACAUUGAUAUAUGAGUAUUAGAUCCAUUAUUAUUGAUUGUUAGAGAAAGUUACCUUAGGGAUAACAGCGUAAUCCUCCUCCAGAGUUCAAAUUUACAGGAAGGCUUGCGACCUCGAUGUUGGAUUAAGAUAAUAAUUAGGUGCAGCCGCUUAAUUAAUAGGUCUGUUCGACCUUUAAAUUCUU